rnacentral:lncRNA from 8 species
AUGCGCACGCACAGUCCGGUGCGAGUGAUUCCAGCCCCUCGCAAGUGCCGUGCUAGAGUGGGCAUCCAGCCAGGUAGGAGUAUGCCUGCGCAAUACAUCUGGCCACCAGUACGUCUCCUAGGCCCAGGCUACCCUGCGCCUGCUCUACGCAUGGCAGCCAUCAGGCCUCUGCACAGCUCAGUUCGCCCUGUGCCAGCACUCCGCCCAUGCAGGGCUACUGUUACCACCCAGCCAGGACGGGUUGUGCAGGCUGUGCGCUCCAGAUCUCCAGUGCUUGUUCAUGGCCCGGUGUAUCCAGUUCCUGCUCCUCGCACUAGCCCUGAGGUGCGUGUCUCUAGUCUGGCGCCUCCAAAGCCAGCACCAUGCAUCAGGCCUCCAGUGCGUCAGCCCAGUCCAGUAGGUCCUGUUCCUGCUCCUCGCACUAGCCUUGAGGUGCGUGUCUCCAGUUUGGUACCUCCAGUACCAGCCCCACGCACUAGGCCUCCAGUGCGUCAGCCCAGUCUAGUUUGUCCUGCUCCUGCUCCUCGCACUAGCCUUGAGGUGCGUGUUACCAGUCUGGCGCCUCCAAAGCCAGCCCCACGCACUAGGCCCGUAGUGCGCCUGUCCAGUCCAGAGCUUCCGGAGACAGUUCCCUGUCCAGAGCUUCCGGAGACAGUUCCCCGUCCAGAGCUUCCGGCGACAGUUCCCCGUCUAGAGCUUCCGGCGACAGUUCCCCGUCUAGAGCUUCCGGCGACAGUUCCCCGUCCAGUACUUCCAGCCCACAGUCCGGAGCCUGCAGAGACGGCCCACAGUCCGGAGCCUGCAGAGACGGCCCACAGUCCGGAGCCUGCAGAGACGGCCCACAGUCCGGAGCCUGCAGAGACGGCCCACAGUCCGGAGCCUGCAGAGACGGCCCACAGCCCGGAGCCUGCGCAGCCAGAGUCGCCCUACAGUCCGGAACCAGCGCAGCCGGAGUCGCCCUACAGUCCGGAACAGACGCUCCCAGAGUCGCCCUCCUGUCCGGAGCUCCCAGAGUCGCCCUCCAGUCCGGAGCUCCCAGAGUCGCCCUCCAGUCCGGAGCUCCCAGAGUCGCCCUCCAGUCCGGAGCUCCCAGAGUCGCCCUCCAGUCCGGAGCUCCCCAGUGACGUGCAUCAGCCCGAGGUCUCCAGCGACGCGCAUCAGCCCGAGGUCUCCAGCGACGCGCAUCAGCCCGAGGUCUCCAGCUACGCGCAUCAGCCCGAGGUCUCCAGCGACGCGCAUCAGCCCGAGGUUUCCAGCGACGCGCAUCAGCCCGAGGUCUCCAGCGACGCGCCUUAG